GAUUGUUUUAUUGGUUGUGCACUUAUCGUUUUUAUUGAGAAACCAAGAUUCAUCUAUGUCUUUUACAAAAAGGCCAUACGAAAAUAGUUGCAGUAGACGUGUCCAAAAAGAAUAUUAAAAAAUACUAGAAUUUUCAUCAGUACAUAUAGAAAAAAAAUCGAAUGUUGGAACUUCUAAAAGAAAUGAUUUCUUAUCUUGCGAAAAUCCAAAAGAAUAUUUUGACCAUCAUGAGUCAUCGAUUUUGUACUCUGAAUACUCUUAUGGCCAAAAGCCUAAUGAGUAUAAGCAUAACCCAACUUUAAAGGAAAGUUUUUCUGCAUGUUUUUCUAACCAAGUAAUUAUGCACUAAACAAGUGGAUUGACAAGAAUACCAACAAAUUUAUUGUCCCAAAAAAAAACUAUAAUCAUGCACUGAAAAACAACCUUUUGUCAACAAAAGAAUGGCACAAAUUUCCAUUGAUAAAGUGUAAGAUAACAGAUAGUCAGUAUCUAACUUGUUUUGUAUUUUUUUUAAAGGUAACCUAAUUACUUUUUUUGUAGCAAAAUGUUUUAUAAUUAGAUUCAUUUUCAUGUUGUGAAGAAUACAACUUUCUACAUCAGAUGAGAUAUAUGUUAAAGAAAGCAUUAAAAAUAAGAAUAACAAAUCAUACCGCUCUUUAUUGCCAGAACCUCCGCCACCUAUUAUGAAUAAAUAAUUUUUUCUUAAUGGUUUAUAAACUGAAAUAGAUUCUUGUUUAAUUUGAUCUGAAUAAUAUCUAUCUAGCUAUUAGUCUUUUUUAUGUAUUACUAAGAUUUUCCUUUUAUUUUAACUAUUUGGGUGUUCUAUUAUAUGUAAUGUUGUUAAAUUGGUUACAUAUAUUUAUAUCAUUGACAACAUUCUAUUGUAUUAAAUAAUCCUUUAAUCAACUUGAUAUGAAAAUUGAAAAUUGAUUGAAAGCAUGCUGAAGUUGUUUGAAUUCAGAAAUUGAAAGAGUACAAAAUUGGUUGAAAGAUUAAAUUAAGUAACAAGUAUGGUUGAGGGAUUAUUUAUAGUUCUAAUUAUAAUUAUUUCUUUUGAAUAGAGUUGUUAUCAGAUUCAAAGAUUGAAGAAGAUAGUUUUUCUUCACAUUUUUUUGAUGAACACCAAGCAAAGUUCACAUUGUCAAAGAGUUUUAAGUUUUAACAGAUGAAAAAAUGUUAUUCUCAAGGAGCUUGCAGAAAUAAAAGUUCUUUUAAAAGAAGUUAUAGAAAUUAAGUUUCAGGCUACUGGGGUGAAGUUGCUAGAAUCGGUGGACGAAGUGGUUACACUGGAUAAUAAACUAAAAGAUAAAACCGAGUAUACUAAUUUGCUUGAUAGUUUAAAAAAGUUUGGUGGUGGAAAGCCAAGAGAACAUGUUUUGAUCAUGAAAAGGUUAUUUUCGAAUCAGUUACAGUCCAAAUUAAAUCAAAAAGGAAUUGGGGAAAAGAUAAGCUUAGAAAAUCUAGUAAAUAUAUGGAGUGUUUUACGAGAUAUCGGCGACGUGGAAGAAAAUGUUGACGGCAAUGCAGAAAUAUAGUUUCUUAUGUAUAUUUUUGUGAAAUAAAAAUUAAGUAAUGUUAGUUAAAA
rnacentral:lncRNA from 1 species